AAAGUGAGUACCGAUUCGUUUCUAUUUCUUCCGCCUGCCUGCCACGAGGCCAUCUUCCCCACCGACGCGCCGCUCGCCGCGCCCCCGGACGCGCCGCCCGCCGCUCCCCGGGCCGGCCCCGGGGCGGGUUGCGCGGAGCCGCAGAGCGGGCGAAGCGGCUCAGCGCGGGGGAGCAGCACGGCGCGGGCGAAACGACUCGGGAAGAGCGGCGCGGCGCGGCGCGAGCAGAGCGGCACGGCCAGAGCAGCGCUGGCGGGGUGGGGCGGAGCGGGCGCAGGCGAGCGCGCGGCAGAGCCGCACCGCGUAUCUGGAAUCAGGGCGAGGCACCAGCCUUUUCCCAGGAAUCCGUUUCUGCUGCUGCAUCCCCACUUCUCCGCCGGAUCGCUGCAAGAUUCUCGGACAUGUCGGACUCUGAGGAGCACCACUUCGAGUCCAAGGCCGACGCCGGCGCCUCCAAGACCUACCCGCAGCAGGCCGGGACCAUCCGCAAGAACGGCCCCUGCAAGGUUGUUGAGGUCUCUACUUCCAAGACUGGGAAGCAUGGCCAUGCCAAGUGCCACUUUGUCGGCAUUGACAUUUUCAAUGGAAAGAAGCUUGAGGAUAUUGUUCCUUCAUCUCACAACUGUGACGUUCCACAUGUUGACCGCACUGAGUAUCAGCUGAUUGACAUUUCUGAAGACGGAUACGUUAGCCUUUUGACGGAGAAUGGCAACACUAAGGAUGACCUGAAGCUUCCCAAUGAUGAAAAUCUGCAAGCCCAGGUCAGUGCACUACCUCAAGCAGGGCAGAGCACCACUGGGGUGCUGUGCUGCCAGCAGGUGCGCCCGUGCGGCGUCCGCUGGCCGGCAAGCAGAAGCAGCGCACGGCGAACGCACGAAGGCAGAGCAACACUGCAGAGGCUAAAAUGAAUUCGAUGGGAAAGGCAUAUUGCAAGGCUAAGGCCAAAUUGAUCUUUUUCACAUCGUCACAAGCAUUUCAGUACUUUGCAAUAGGCAUUUUUGUCAAAUAGCGAAGUAUUUUCAGUACUUUCCUAUAGGUAAUUAUAUCAAUUGCUAGAGGCAUUUCAGUACUUUUCCAGUAGGCAACUCAGUGCAUUUAUCCAGGUAAUAAUGUGUUAAGAACAUGGCAAACUCAGUGUAUUUAUCUUGGCAAUUCUUCUGAUUUUUCAGAUAUGCAACUCUGCAACAACUAGGUAUCCAGCAGGAAAGAAAGGAGGAAGUACCGGGAGAACAAGACGUGCAGAUUUGAAGCAGAUCACGUAGAUAAAGCAGGAUAAAGUAAAUACUUAUGUGGAGUUGUGGAUUUUGUGUGGACAUACGUACCUUUGUCUAUUUGCAUCGAUCUGUUUUGUUCUUUGCUGUACAAUUCCCCAUUCGCGUUGAAUGGGGGGCAGAUUUGCUUUUGGUUUUGUGCCGUAUGGGAGACGCGAGACGCGAGACGCGCUGGUUUCUAGUA